ACUUUAUAAUUCAGGGGAUGUUUGGAUGGUGGCAUGGUGCCCACUUUUGCCUUUGUCGGCUCGCCCAGCAGAUGGUGACGAAAGUGAACGGCUAACCAAAAUUUUGGCAUGGAUCCGGAAAUUUGGUGUCAAUCCAAACGCACGCCCAUGCCCUCAGUCAACACCAAAUUUUUGGCUUGGCAGUAGCCGGCUGCAACCCAAAAAGACUCUCAUUCACAGGAGCUGGUUUGAAUUCCUAAUAUACUUUGGCUUGUUGAUAUUGAACCGGAACUGCUGCAGCAUGUCUAUUACAAAGCAGAUUUAUGUUUCUUAUACUUCAGUUUUUGUUUUUAUUCCUUACUACCCCUGCUGCAUAUAAUUCAAAAUGUUUAUGUUUAUAAGUGCAUCAGAAAAUCCACCAAAUUAACCAAAUUCAUACUGAUUCAUUUCACUAUCUUCUCCGUACUAGCAAAUUAACUAAGUGUAAUAUGUUGUUCAGGUAUAAAUCAACACUGCAUUUGGAGGGUUCAGUUUUAGUUUAUAGUGUACCAAGGACUUGAUCACCUCUAACAAUGCUCAGCUAUCACUAUCCAAGCUUGGUUGCAGGUUGAACAGUUAUGUACUACAUCACAUCCUGCCCCGACAAUGGAAGCCCUCAUUGCCGACAUCUCUGUCAUAUCAUGUCCCCUUGAGACGGCUUCCGAGCUUUGGCGUCCGGAUUGGGACAUGUGGAUGCAGGGACGCUGCAAGUGGUUCACACGGCAGGGCAAGCGGCCAGGAGAGACGAAGAUCGUCAGACCCAGUUCAGCUCAGCUGUGGAGUGAGACAGCGACGUCACCAAGGAGAUGCGAGCCAAACUUAGAACGGUACUGUUAGCAUGGUACACAAUGUAAUCCAGUUUAAAUAUAUGUGUUACCUACCUUAUAUUGACAAUACUAUUUCACAUCUAACAAAUAUAAGUCCGUUUUAACAUCAA